CCCAAGCGGGGAAGGAUGAGAAGCUUCGACCAAGGUUCGACUUGAGCGCCAGCGAGAGAGCGUUGCCGCAGGCAACGACCCGAAGGGCGAAGCGCGCAGCGCUGAGUAAUCCUUCCCCCACCACCA
rnacentral:sRNA from 2 species